rnacentral:rRNA from 1 species
UACGUAGGGACCGAGCGUUGUCCGGAUUCAUUGGGCGUAAAGAGCUCGUAGGCGGCUGUUCAAGUCGAACGUGAAAACUCGGGGCUCAACUCCGAGCCUGCGUUCGAUACUGGAUGGCUAGAAUCUGGCAGAGGGGGGUAGAAUUCCACGUGUAGCAGUGAAAUGCGUAGAGAUGUGGAGGAACACCGAUGGCGAAGGCAGCCCCCUGGGUCAAGAUUGACGCUCAUGCACGAAAGCGUGGGGAGCAAACAGG